AUCUGCGAUAAGCGCCGGUAAGGUGAUAUGAACCGUUAUAACCGGCGAUACCCGAAUGGGGAAACCCAGUGUGAUUCGUCACACUAUCAUUAACUGAAUCCAUAGGUUAAUGAGGCGAACCGGGGGAACUGAAACAUCUAAGUACCCCGAGGAAAAGAAAUCAACCGAGAUUCCCCCAGUAGCGGCGAGCGAACGGGGAGGAGCCCAGAGCCUGAAUCAGCAUGUGUGUUAGUGGAAGCGUCUGGAAAGGCGCGCGAUACAGGGUGACAGCCCCGUACACAAAAGCGCAUGUGCUGUGAGCUCGAUGAGUAGGGCGGGACACGUGGUAUCCUGUCUGAAUAUGGGGGGACCAUCCUCCAAGGCUAAAUACUCCUGACUGACCGAUAGUGAACCAGUACCGUGAGGGAAAGGCGAAAAGAACCCCGGCGAGGGGAGUGAAAAAGAACCUGAAACCGUGUACGUACAAGCAGUGGGAGCACCCUUCGGGGUGUGACUGCGUACCUUUUGUAUAAUGGGUCAGCGACUUAUAUUCUGUAGCAAGGUUAACCGAAUAGGGGAGCCGGAGGGAAACCGAGUCUUAACCGGGCGUUAAGUUGCAGGGUAUAGACCCGAAACCCGGUGAUCUAGCCAUGGGCAGGUUGAAGGUUGGGUAACACUAACUGGAGGACCGAACCGACUAAUGUUGAAAAAUUAGCGGAUGACCUGUGGCUGGGGGUGAAAGGCCAAUCAAACCGGGAGAUAGCUGGUUCUCCCCGAAAGCUAUUUAGGUAGCGCCUCGUGAAUUCAUCUCCGGGGGUAGAGCACUGUUUCGGCUAGGGGGCCAUCCCGGCUUACCAACCCGAUGCAAACUGCGAAUACCGGAGAAUGUUAUCACGGGAGACACACGGCGGGUGCUAACGUCCGUCGUGAAGAGGGAAACAACCCAGACCGCCAGCUAAGGUCCCAAAGUCAUGGUUAAGUGGGAAACGAUGUGGGAAGGCCCAGACAGCCAGGAUGUUGGCUUAGAAGCAGCCAUCAUUUAAAGAAAGCGUAAUAGCUCACUGGUCGAGUCGGCCUGCGCGGAAGAUGUAACGGGGCUAAACCAUGCACCGAAGCUGCGGCAGCGACACUGUGUGUUGUUGGGUAGGGGAGCGUUCUGUAAG
rnacentral:rRNA from 1 species